GGAAUGAGUAGCGAGAAUAAGGUGGGAAUCCUUAUGGCCGAAUAUCCAAGGUUUCCAGAGUAAAGCUGAUCUGCUCUGGGUAAGUCGGGGCCUAAGGCGAGGACGAGAGUCGUAGCCGAUGGACAACAGGUGGAGAUUCCUGUACUGCGGUAUGACAGAACUGUGGGGACACGUAAGGAAAGCGGAAGCCGGGAAUGGAAAGCCCGGUGCAAGCGGGGUACCAGCCACUUUGGCAAAUCCGGGUGGCAAUGGGAAGCCGUGAUGCGGAGCGAAAUAAAGUAGCGAAGUCCGUGAGCCAUGCGUCAAGAAAAGCCGCUAUCGUUUAUACCGUACCCGUACCGUAAACCGACACAGGUGGAUGAGGAGAGAAUCCUAAGGCCGGCGGAAGAAGCAUUGUCAAGGAACUCGGCAAAAUGGCCCCGUAACUUAGGGAUAAGGGGUGCCUGGGAAACCAGGCCGCAGAGAAUAGGCUCAAGCAACUGUUUAGCAAAAACACAGGUCUAUGCGAAACCGAAAGGUGAGGUAUAUGGGCUGACGCCUGCCCGGUGCUGGAAGGUUAAGAGGAGAGGUUAGCGCAAGCGAAGCUUUGAAUUUAAGCCCCAGUAAACGGCGGCCGUAACGAUAACGGUCCUAAGGUAGCGAAAUUCCUUGUCGGGUAAGUUCCGACCCGCACGAAAGGCGUAAUGAUUUGAGCGCUGUCUCGACAAUGCAUCCGGUGAAAUUGAAGUACCAGUGAAGAUGCUGGUUACCUGCGCCAGGACGGAAAGACCCCAUGGAGCUUUACUCCAGUCUGGUACUGGGACUCGGUAUUGCAUGUACAGGAUAGGUGGGAGGCUGAGAAAUGGUAACGCCAGUUGCCAUGGAGCCGCUGUUGGGAUACCACCCUUGCAGUACUGGGUUUCUAACCAGCCGCCGUGACCCGGCGGUGGGACAAUGCCAGACGGGGAGUUUGACUGGGGCGGUCGCCUCCGAAAGGGUAUCGGAGGCGCCCAAAGGUUCCCUCAGAAUGGACGGAAACCAUUCGAAGAGUGCAAAGGCAGAAGGGAGCUUGACUGCGACACCGACGGGUGGAGCAGGUACGAAAGUAGGGCUUAGUGAUCCGGUGGUAUUAAGUGGGAAUGCCAUCGCUCAACGGAUAAAAGCUACCCUGGGAUAACAGGCUUAUCACUCCCAAGAGUUCACAUCGACGGAGUGGUUUGGCACCUCGAUGUCGGCUCAUCGCAUCCUGGGGCUGUAGUAGGUCCCAAGGGUUGGGCUGUUCGCCCAUUAAAGCGGUACGCGAGCUGGGUUCAGAACGUCGUGAGACAGUUCGGUCCCUAUCCGGCGUGGGCGUAGGAUAUCUGAGAGGAGCUGUCCUUAGUACGAGAGGACCGGGAUGGACGGGCCGCUGGUGCAUCGGUUAGACUGCCAAGUCUACGGCCGAGUAGCCAAGCCCGGAAGGGAUAAACGCUGAAGGCAUCUAAGCGUGAAGCCCCCCUUAAGAUGAGAUAUCCCAUUCGAAAGAAGUAAACCCCCUUGAAGACGACGAGGUAGAUAGGGCAGAGGUGGAAGUGCAGCAAUGCAUGGAGCUGACUGUUACUAAUCGGGUGAGGGCUUGAUC
rnacentral:rRNA from 1 species